AAACCUUACACUUUAACUGGAAACAUCUGAUCAGUCAGUCAGCUCUCCUGCUUAAUACAUAUUUUUAGUUUGUUUUGUUUUGUGAGCUUCUGUUUGUUUGUUUAGAGGACAGUGUCACCAGGUAUAGUCAAGACUGGUCUCAGCUUUGUGAUUCUCUGUUCUGGAAAUACAGGUAUGUACUAGACAGCUGGGUUUAUACAAUCUGUGGUUUGGUUUUGUUGAGGACCGGGUCAUGCUCUAUAGCCCAGACUGACCUUGACUUCCUGGUGACAUCAGCCUCCCAAGGCCUAGUGUGCUCAGCUGGGUUUUCUGUUCUGCCAUGUUAGCCAAACACUGGGCUUUGGUAAAAAUGAAUGCUUUAAGUGAGCGGAGGAACAAAUAAAUGCUGUGUCUCUUGGUUGUUUUCUCGUAAA
rnacentral:lncRNA from 1 species